rnacentral:rRNA from 1 species
UACGGGGGGGGCAAGCGUUGUUCGGAAUUACUGGGCGUAAAGGGCGCGUAGGCGGCCUCUUAAGUCGAACGUGAAAUCCCCGGGCUCAACCCGGGAACUGCGUCCGAUACUGGGGGGCUUGAAUCCGGGAGAGGGAUGUGGAAUUCCAGGUGUAGCGGUGAAAUGCGUAGAUAUCUGGAGGAACACCGGUGGCGAAGGCGGCAUCCUGGACCGGUAUUGACGCUGAGGCGCGAAAGCUAGGGGAGCAAACGGG